rnacentral:tRNA from 1 species
GCCGAAGUGGUGGAAUAGGUAGACACGCCAUCUUGAGGGGGUGGUGGGCAAAACCCAUGGGGGUUCGAAUCCCCCCUUCGGCACCA